rnacentral:rRNA from 1 species
ACUCCUACGGGAGGCAGCAGUGGGGAAUAUUGCACAAUGGGCGCAAGCCUGAUGCAGCAACGCCGCGUGAGGGACGACGGCCUUCGGGUUGUAAACCUCUUUUAGUAGGGAAGAAGCGAAAGUGACGGUACCUGCAGAAAAAGCACCGGCUAACUACGUGCCAGCAGCCGCGGUAAUACGUAGGGUGCAAGCGUUAUCCGGAAUUAUUGGGCGUAAAGAGCUCGUAGGCGGUUUGUCGCGUCUGCUGUGAAAACUGGAGGCUCAACCUCCAGCCUGCAGUGGGUACGGGCAGACUAGAGUGCGGUAGGGGAGAUUGGAAUUCCUGGUGUAGCGGUGGAAUGCGCAGAUAUCAGGAGGAACACCGAUGGCGAAGGCAGAUCUCUGGGCCGUAACUGACGCUGAGGAGCGAAAGCAUGGGGAGCGAACAGGAUUAGAUACCCUGGUAGUCCAUGCCGUAAACGUUGGGAACUAGAUGUAGGGACCAUUCCACGGUUUCUGUGUCGCAGCUAACGCAUUAAGUUCCCCGCCUGGGGAGUACGGCCGCAAGGCUAAAACUCAAAGGAAUUGACGGGGGCCCGCACAAGCGGCGGAGCAUGCGGAUUAAUUCGAUGCAACGCGAAGAACCUUACCAAGGCUUGACAUAUACCGGAAAAGUUCAGAAAUGUUCUCCCCGCAAGGUCGGUAUACAGGUGGUGCAUGGUUGUCGUCAGCUCGUGUCGUGAGAUGUUGGGUUAAGUCCCGCAACGAGCGCAACCCUCGUUCUAUGUUGCCAGCACGUAAUGGUGGGAACUCAUAGGAGACUGCCGGGGUCAACUCGGA